GGGGCAGCAUGGUCUUAGCUUGCUAAGGCCGAUGGCGACCGGCGCACGNGGUGAGUAACACGUAUCCAACCUGCCGUCUACUCUUGGAUAGCCUUCUGAAAGGAAGAUUAAUACAAGAUGGCAUCAUGAGUCCGCAUGUUCACAUGAUUAAAGGUAUUCCGGUAGACGAUGGGGAUGCGUUCCAUUAGAUAGUAGGCGGGGUAACGGCCCACCUAGUCUUCGAUGGAUAGGGGUUCUGAGAGGAAGGUCCCCCACAUUGGAACUGAGACACGGUCCAAACUCCUACGGGAGGCAGCAGUGAGGAAUAUUGGUCAAUGGGCGCAGGCCUGAACCAGCCAAGUAGCGUGAAGGAUGACUGCCCUAUGGGUUGUAAACUUCUUUUAUAAAGGAAUAAAGUCGGGUAUGUAUACCCGUUUGCAUGUACUUUAUGAAUAAGGAUCGGCUAACUCCGUGCCAGCAGCCGCGGUAAUACGGAGGAUCCGAGUGUUAUCCGGAUUUAUUGGGUUUAAAGGGAGCGUAGAUGGAUGUUUAAGUCAGUUUGUGAAAGUUUUGCGGCUCAACCGUAAAAUUUGCAGUUGAUACUGGAUAUCUUGAGUGCAGUUGAGGCAGGCGGAAUUCGUGGUGUAGCGGUGAAAUGCUUAGAUAUCACGAAGAACUCCGAUUGCGAAGGCAGCCUGCUAAGC
rnacentral:rRNA from 1 species